CUGGUUAUGGGUCUCAGAACGGUCAAGGUGCCAAACCAAACGGUAAAUAAGUUUCCCUCCAGCUGAAAUAAUCAAUAUGAUCAUGAAAAAAAUGGUAUCCUACUAUAUUUGAUGUUUACUUUUCUUAAUACCUAAUGUUCCAUACUCUUGACCUACUGCAGGCUACCAGCCAGCUGCUGCUGUGCCUAAUGGCUAUGGAGCCCGGUUCAACGGUAACUACUAGUUUACGACCUAAUGACACCCUUUGAACAACAAAUGUUGUUCUGUUGGAACAAGACAGAUGUAGAUCUGUAUAUGAAUACAUCUUGUAAUAGAUUAAUAAAACACAAAUAUGAAUUUCAGGUUAUGGUGCGCAUGCAGGACCAACUAAUGGACAAGGAACCAAAGGAAACGGUUUGUAUAUGAAUAAAUAUGAUCUAAAAUUCAAAUAAACACACACGCACUUCAUGUAACCAUUUCAUAAUCUAUAAUUUCAGGUUAUGGUGCCCAAGCAGGAACAGCUAAUGGACAAGGAACCAAAGGAAACGGUUAUGGUGCCCAAGCAGGACCAGCUAAUGGACAAGGAAGCAAAGGAAACGGUUUGUAGAUUAACAAAUAUGAUCUCAAAUUGAAACACACUCGCACGCAUGCACGCGCGCAGCCUAAGUCAUGUAAACAUAAUCAUUUGUAUUUCAGGUUAUGGUGCACAGGCUGGCUUGGCUAAUGGACAAGGAACCAAAGGAAACGGUUUGUAGAAAUGACAAAGACAUGCAAAGUAUUACAGCAACCUGUUGGUCAUACAGAACCUGCAUACAACACUAUAGCGAGGCCCAUAAAGAGUUAUUUAGUUUCUGGUCGUCACAAAACAACAUUGUACUUCCUGUUCCGUCAUCUCAUCACUAGGUUAUGGUGCUGGAGCCGGUGUUGCCAAGGGAAACCAAGGCCAGGCCAAAGGUGUGUUAGCUGGGUUCCUCCCAGGACGUGGCAACCCCAGCCCGGCAGCAGAUAAAGCAGGUAAGCCUGGAGCGUAGCACCCACCAUAUACUCACUGAUGAGAGGUAGACGAAUGACUAUAAUGGAAGAUGAGUCAAUGGAUGGAAUUGACCGUUUUUUCUGUGUCCUGUAGUUUAUUCUGGUGUUCCAAACGGAUACGUAGCCCAACCAAAUGGUAAAAGAACUUGGGACUGCUCACUUGACUAACUUUUCAGACUGCACACAUUUCAACUCAUAACAAAUAUCUAUCAAAGGUAGCAUUAAAAACGGUGUGUUGUAUUGUGAAACCGUGUUCAGGGAUUUUUGUUCUCUUGGAUUUGACUGUCUUACACAUAACAGGGGGGCUCUCAUCGUAGAUGCUAAAGCUUCAUUUGUUGUCAGCUAAUAUUACAUUCAGAGCCAAUGGUAAAGCUUCU
rnacentral:lncRNA from 1 species